GUCAAACAGCUUUUCCCUCACCCAUUUAAAAGUCUAAUGUGGAUUGUUGUGCUUGAUUGAUUAAUAGCUGCCUGGUAUUAAGGUAUUAAUCUGCAGCAGGCACUUGGUCCUGGAUUCAUGAGCAGGGUUUCUGCAAGGCUGGGUAUCCCAGGGUUGGUGUGACUCACUUCACAUGCAGAUCAGAGGAUUGGAAAGAUCAGACUCAACAGAUCUGGGCAGGGGAUGUAAAGAGACCAGACUGAUGCCUACAUGCUGUGCUCCUCCAUGCUUCAGACAGCCCGUCAGACAGAGGAGCAAAAGGGGACGUCAUUUUCCUCUCUAAUAUCUUCUGAGCCUCAUCAGAAAUUUCUCUGCUGGCUUGAGAAGGCUGUUAUGACCACAUAAGCCGCUUCCCAACAAUGACUAUUGGACCUCCCAGAUUUAUUUCUUGUAGGAAGCCUGAAAUUGAAGUUGAAAUUGCUUUAAGAGGAUGAUAUGCUUGCCUGAAGAUGCCUAGUUCCUAUCUGCCCAUUUGGAUUACUGAACAAGCCUUCGACCAUCCUGUGAAACACUGAUUUCUUCACAAAGCUGAAUUUUUACUGGUUUGAGUUUAACCAAGUAUUUAGCGUGUAAACCUAGAAAACCAUUUCCUUGUGACAGAAAAUUGCUGUGCAGCUAUUUGGUGGGACUCUGUGAUCUGGAAGUCUUUUUUUUCCAGGGAAUGCUGCACAGUAAUGAAUACCAAAUAGAAUUUAUUGAGUGCAGGUAAAUUUUUAAUGGGUAGCAUUUGUAUGCUGAACAUAUGUUGAAAUGAAUGCAUAAUUAAAAAAAAUUUGUUUAUGAAAGUUCACCUGAGAUUUCAACAGUAGCAAUUUAAACUGAACAUUGCUGUUCUUGAUGUGUGCCAAUUUGUCAAGUUUUCUGAACACAGAGUAAGAACAGCAAGGGAAGCUUGCUAUUCCUGCAGAAUA